AACCUGCCUGCAAGACCGGGAUAACCCACGGAAACGUGAGCUAAUACCGGAUAUCUCAUUUCCUCUCCUGAGGGGAUGAUGAAAGACGGAGCAAUCUGUCACUUGCGGAUGGGCCUGCGGCGCAUUAGCUAGUUGGUGAGGUAACGGCUCACCAAGGCGACGAUGCGUAGCCGACCUGAGAGGGUGAACGGCCACACUGGGACUGAGACACGGCCCAGACUCCUACGGGAGGCAGCAGUAGGGAAUCUUCCGCAAUGGGCGAAAGCCUGACGGAGCAACGCCGCGUGAGUGAUGAAGGUUUUCGGAUCGUAAAGCUCUGUUGCCAGGGAAGAACGUCCGGUAGAGUAACUGCUAUCGGAGUGACGGUACCUGAGAAGAAAGCCCCGGCUAACUACGUGCCA
rnacentral:rRNA from 1 species